AUACAGGGGGUGCGAGCGUUAAUCGGAAUUACUGGGCGUAAAGAGUACGUAGGCGGUUGCUUAAGUCAGAUGUGAAAGCCCCGGGCUCAACUUGGGAACUGCAUUUGAAACUGAGUGACUAGAGUUUAAGAGAGGGGAGUAGAAUUCCGGGUGUAGCGGUGAAAUGCGUAGAGAUCCGGAGGAAUACCAGUGGCGAAGGCGGCUCCCUGGCUUAAAACUGACGCUGAGGUACGAAAGCGUGGGUAGCAAACAGGAUUAGAUACCCGUGUAGUCC
rnacentral:rRNA from 1 species